rnacentral:rRNA from 1 species
GACGAACGCUGGCGGCGUGCCUAAUACAUGCAAGUCGAGCGGAUUGAUGGGAGCUUGCUCCCUGAUGUCAGCGGCGGACGGGUGAGUAACACGUGGGCAACCUGCCUGUAAGACUGGGAUAACUUCGGGAAACCGGAGCUAAUACCGGAUAAUCCUUUUUCUCUCAUGAGGAAAAGCUGAAAGACGGUUUCGGCUGUCACUUACAGAUGGGCCCGCGGCGCAUUAGCUAGUUGGUGAGGUAACGGCUCACCAAGGCGACGAUGCGUAGCCGACCUGAGAGGGUGAUCGGCCACACUGGGACUGAGACACGGCCCAGACUCCUACGGGAGGCAGCAGUGGGGAAUCUUCCGCAAUGGGCGAAAGCCUGACGGAGCAACGCCGCGUGAGUGAAGAAGGCCUUCGGGUUGUAAAACUCUGUCUUCAGGGAAGAAAAAAAUGACGGUACCUGAGGAGGAAGCCACGGCUAACUACGUGCCAGCAGCCGCGGUAAUACGUAGGUGGCAAGCGUUGUCCGGAAUUACUGGGCGUAAAGAGCGCGUAGGCGGGAAUUUAAGUCAGGAGUGAAAACUGCCGGCUCAACUGGCAGCCUGCUCUUGAAACUGGAUUUCUUGAGGGUAUGAGAGGAAAGCGGAAUUCCUAGUGUAGCGGUGAAAUGCGUAGAUAUUAGGAGGAACACCAGUGGCGAAGGCGGCUUUCUGGCAUACAACUGACGCUGAGGCGCGAAAGCGUGGGGAGCAAACGGGAUUAGAUACCCCGGUAGUCCACGCCGUAAACGAUGGGUACUAGGUGUAGGAGGUAUCGACCCCUUCUGUGCCGUAGUUAACACAAUAAGUACCCCGCCUGGGGAGUACGGCCGCAAGGUUG